rnacentral:misc_RNA from 1 species
GUGAACGACACACUAUGGGCAUCUACUGUAUUGAACAGGUGCACGGAUCAUAAAUCUUCUUUAAAUGCCUUGGCAUUACUAAGAUGCAUUUACCCUUGUAUUUAUGCUAAUCAUUUGUCAUUCGCCUUUAUAAAAGACAGCUGUAAGAUUACAGUGAUUAAAAUGAUUAAUAUUUAUACCUACCUUGUAAGCCAAUAUUUUUCAUAUGAAUACUUGUGGUACGCCUUACUAAGAAUGGCGAAUCAAAGUAUUAAGUUGUGAAAGGAUGAUUUUGAUUUUUGUACGUGCGCUACUUUUGUCUUUCCCUAGAAACUAUUCAAGAAGGAGAGUGCUCUAAUAGACAUCUCUAAUAUGAUUAUAUGACUUAAUUAAUUAAUAGUUCUAAUGUCAUAUUUAAUCGUGCUAGAAUUAAAUUUCGCAUUAAUUGUGAAAUGUUUCCUAAUAUGAUAUGCAUGAAUAUAUUAAUAUCAUUUAAUACUGUUUUAUCAUGUUGCCAUAUCAUUGUUUACAUUACAAGAAAAUAUGAAAAU